UAGAGAGAGACAUGCGCGCAUAUCAAUAAGGGAGGAAAAGAAACUAACAAGGAUUCCCCUAGUAACGGCGAGUGAAGCGGGAAGAGCUCAAAUUUGAAAUCUUAAAGGGUUUCCCUUUACGAAUUGUAGUUUAAAGAAGUGUUUUCUGUUGAGGUUUUGGUAAAAGUUCUUUGGAAUAGGACAUCAUAGAGGGUGAGAAUCCCGUAUUUGACCUUUACUUUCAACUUUGUGAUACACUUUCAAAGAGUCGGAUUGUUUGGGAAUGCAGUCCAAAAUGGGUGGUAAAUUUCAAUCUAAAGCUAAAUAUUGGCGAGAGACCGAUAGCGAACAAGUACCGUGAGGGAAAGAUGAAAAGAACUUUGAAAAGAGAGUUAAACAGUACGUGAAAUUGUCAAAAGGGAAGCGUUUGACACCAGUGUUGUUUUUCUGAAAAUCAAUUAAAGAACUGUUUAUGCUAAGUUGUUUAGACUUUAUCAGCUAACUGUUUAGUUUUGAGCUUUUCUUUAAUGCACUUUUCAGUUAACAAGUCAACAUCAAUUUCUUUUGCUGUAAAAAAGCUUGAGGAAGGUGGCUUGAGAUUCGUCUUAAGUGUUUAUAGCCUCUUGCCUAUGCAGUCGGAGAGAUUGAGGUCUGCAGCGUAGAUCCUUCGGGGCUAAAUGCAUUUGUGCUAAGUUAUAGCAUUUUAUAGACAACUUGUUGACUAUGAUUUGUCUUGUAGCUUACUCGCUUAUGUUAUUUUACCUACGCUUAGGAUGUUGAGCGCAUGUCUCUCUCU
rnacentral:rRNA from 1 species